AAAAGCCCAGCGCUGAAUCCAUCGGCCACUGGUCGCUUGGAGUUGUAGCGUAUAGGUGCGGCUGUCUGAUCGUGUCGCGCACCCAAAGUCCCCUUGAGCGGGGCCACGGUCCGAAGAAGGUGCUAGACCUGUACGGGUGGCGAGACGGUUGGUUGGUCGCUCCUUGGAGUCGGGUUGCCUGGGAUCGCAGCCCAAAGUUGGUGGUAGACCUCAUCUAAGGCUAAAUAUGGCCACGAAACCGAUAGCAAACAAGUACCGUGAGGGAAAGUUGCAAAGAACUUUGAAGAGAGAGUUCAAGAGGGCGUGAAACCGCUGAGAUGGAAACGGAUAGAGUUGACGGAGCUCUGCUGCAUUCACCCGAUCGGCCUAGCGGUCCAAUGGCUUUGACUUCCUCGAUGAGGGCAAGGCUGCUGGUAACUGUUGGGUAUUUGAUCGGUGUAUUUGCGGCUGGUAUGCGCUGAGGGCUUUGUGAGCGCAUGUCRACGGGCGUGGAGUGGACCAUACCUUUCCGGUGUGGAACCCUUCGCGCUCUUAGGCAUGUCGUUUGUAAAGUUUCAAAAGUGCCGUCUCCGCUAUGGUGCAUCGGUUUUGUCGAGCUGUUGUGGCUUCAGGCUGGUCGCAUGCGACCGUCGGUCGUCGUCAAUGGUCCGUCAAAGCACAGAUGCGCCGAGACGUGCACCUCGGUGUGAACGUUGACCACCUAUCCGACCCGUCUUGAAACACGGACCAAGGAGUUUAGCAUAUGCGCAAGUCAUUGGGUGGAAAACCUAAAGGCGUAAUGAAAGUAAAAGUCGUCUCGAACGGCCGAUAUGGGAUCCGCAUGGCUUCCGAGUUGUGCGGCGCACCAUAGCCCCGUCCCCGUUGCAUGCAAUAGGGCGGAGGUAGAGCGUAUACGCUGAGACCCGAAAGAUGGUGAACUAUGCCUGAGCAGGAUGAAGCCAGAGGAAACUCUGGUGGAAGUCCGAAGCGGUUCUGACGUGC
rnacentral:rRNA from 1 species